CACAGUGAUGCUCAAAAAAGAUCUGUUGGUAGGCAAUGGGAAGGUGCAUUCAUGUCAUCCUGCAGGCGGAAUUCUCCACGAGUUUUGAGCAGCCUCGGGUUUCCCACCACCUCCAAAUCAUGGAAGACACACGUUCAGGCAGAGCCCGCGGAGCCAUGGCCAGCCCUUCCAGCAGCUCCGAAGCCACUGGCAAGCCCCGAGGCAGGGAUGGCAGUCCCAGGAUGGGGGAGGAGGACGUCCCUCCCGAAGAGAAGAGGCUGGGGCUGUAGCUGGAGGGGGGAAGCGCACAGCCCGAGGACUGCGAGGACGGGGAGGACCCGCCGCUG
rnacentral:lncRNA from 1 species